UAGGGAAUCUUCCACAAUGGACGAAAGUCUGAUGGAGCAACGCCGCGUGAGUGAAGAAGGUUUUCGGAUCGUAAAGCUCUGUUGUUGGUGAAAGAAGGAUAGAGGUAGUAACUGGCCUUUAUUUGACGGUAAUCAACCAGAAAGUCACGGCUAACUACGUGCC
rnacentral:rRNA from 1 species